rnacentral:rRNA from 1 species
UGCUUGUCUCAAAGACUAAGCCAUGCAAGUGCAAGUACGAGUCGCGCAAUUCGACGUGACGACACUGCGAAAGGCUCAUUAAAUCAGUCGUGGUCUACGUGGUCGUGCGGCGACGAGAGUCGUCAAAGGUGGAUAACCGUGGAAAAGCUAGAGCUAAUACAUGCAAGCGAGCGCCGACUUCGGGAGGCGUGCAUUUAUCAGACCGCACGUCGGCCGGGCGUCGGCGGCCCCGGGCUUCGCGGCUCGGAUCGUCGGCCGGCGUCCGUCGAUUGUGGUGACUCUGGAUAACUUUUCGUGCUGAUCGCCGGUCCGUUGGAGAUCGGGCGACGAACCACUCGAGCGUCUGACCUAUCAACUGUUGUCGGUAAGGUCUCGGCCUACCGAGGUUCUCACGGGUGACGGGGAAUCAGGGUUCGAUUCCGGAGAGGGAGCCUGAGAAACGGCUGCCACUUCCAAGGA